rnacentral:lncRNA from 1 species
CGGUGUGUCUUCAGGGAUGAAGGCUUGGUAAGUUCAGGUACUCGCUUGAUUAUGGCUAGUGAUUUAGCAAGUGGUUCAGUUUGCUGAUGCAGAGAAAGGAACCAGAACUCUCCAUAUUCAAGUGCAAAAGCACCAAGUGUGAGCAAUGGUUUAGCAACCCAAGAAUAGGUUGAGAGCUUGUUGAGGAUUGCUAGUGUUGUCUCAUGAGCAAUUUCCUCACCUGGAGGCUUGCAGGAUAGCUGCCAUGAUCAUCAUACAAUUCAAUUAAUUUCGGUUUAAACAUUUAUCAUUUAGUAUAAGGUAUACUCAAGAAGUCUAUGCAGCAAUUUUACAAGUUUAAGCUUAAUAUUCAGUACUUCAUGAUAUUCAAUUAUCUAAUAAUUAGCUUAGCAAUUCUUAAAUUUUCAAUAGGAUGGAGUAACUUUUUUUUAGACUACCGGACAUCCUGUCGCCAUUCGGAUGAUGAUUAUUUUGAAUUUGAAAUUUAGUCACAGUUUUUUUUUAUCAGCUAAUUUAGUCACAAUUAAGGUUAUUCAUCUGUGAUAUUAUGCGGAGAUUGAAUCCAAGAGCUCUUCUUACACAUUCAGUCUGUAAUUGUAUUGUCAACUAUGUACCAUAUGUAGGUAAUACGUGAAAUUCUAAAAAAUUAACAUUAUUUUUAUAAAAUUGAAAUUUACAAUUUAUCUUAAAUAAUUUUGUGAAAAUAGUUAAUAGUGAUUUAUGAAUAAGUUAAGAGAGGGUAGGUAGUAGAAGAAUUUUCAUAUUCAAUAGGCACCUAAUCUUUAUGUUAAUAAUUUGGUUGUGUAGAUUUUUUUUUUUUUUUAGAUUUUAGCUUUAUUUACUAUUGAUUAAGAAAAAUCUAAUUCAUAAAUUAAAAUGAAUUUCCUCCAGAAAAGUUAUUUUAACUUGUUAAUCAUGUUUUCUUAAUCCACAUUCAAUAAGCUAGGCUUAUAUAUGCGGUCAUUUUAAUUUACCAAACUAUUCGGAAAACCUCUAAGUCAAUCAUUACAUAUAUAUUUUUUUAUUAAUUAUGAGCACUAAUAUAUAUAAACAUAUCAAAUCUUAAGACAUAAAUUCUGAUCACAAACAAUAGUGACAGUUAAAAAUUUAGUGACUUUUAGGAUUGUGGUAAUCUUUUUCCUUCACUAGGUUUUUUUUCCUAAAUGAGUUUUUUCUAAUAAGGUUUUAAUGAGGCUCAAUCCUUAAGUUUUGACUACUCUAUGAGGGUAUUGUGUUUUGGUAUCAUGUACUUUUACUUUGAAUCAUUCAAUAAAUUAUGUUUUGCUGUAAAAAAAAAAAUUAGUACUGCUCAUGUGAAGGUCGAAUGUACCCUAGAUUUUGUAUAUCCGAGCAUCAUUGUUCAAAUAAUAUAAUGUAGAAGCUAAUCUUACCCCUUCCAGUGACAAAAGAAUUUUAUAAGUACGCAUUUAGUUUAUAGCCUUU